AUGAAUAUGGAUUUGAACUUGAUGCCUCAAGAGGAAGAACAUGAAACCAUUGAUUUGAACUUGAUGCCUCAAGAGGAAGACGAUGAAGGUAUUAAUUUGAAUUGGAUCCCUGAAAAGGAGGAACCUCAAGUGGCAGAGAAUGUGGCUAUGGAUUUGAACUUGAUGCCUCAAGAGGAAGACGAUGAAGAUAUGAAUUGGAUGCCUCAAGAAGAUGAAGGGAAAGAGGAUGAAGCUCAAGAGGAAGAGGAUGAAGUUAUGAAUUGGAUACUUCAAGAGAAGAGAAGAGAAUUGUCAGAUAAGGAGAGGCAUGGUGUUUACUUUGCCUUGCUGGUAAUCGAGCUCAAAGAUGGGUCUGUUCAACCAGACGACAAGCUGCUAGUCUCAAACCUGUUGGAUAUAAGUGUACGAUCUGUUGAAAGAAUCUGGGAAGAGGUUAAAAAGCAAAUUGCCGAUGGCAAAGAAGUAGAUGUCUCAAGCAAGAAGCCAGGAAGAUCAGGCCGAAAGAGAAAGGAGCUGGAUCUAGAGAGGACCUCAACAAUCCCACUGAAUAAAAGAAGAACAAUUCGAUCUCUGGCACGGUCUCUAGGUGUGGCCCGAUCGACCCUACAUAAGAGGUUCCAGUUGAAUGAGCUCAACCGCAUCACAAGCACCGUGAAGCCUCACCUCAAGCUAGAGAACAAGCUUGCGAGAUUGAAAUUUUGUAUGUCCAUGGUCGAUGACAAUUCGAUCUCAACUUCUCGGGCUAUGUUAAAACCAAUGACGAAUAUGGUUCACAUCGAUGAGAAGUGGUUCGACAUGACGAGAGUGAAGAAUAGUUACUAUGUACUUCCAGGAGAACCUGAACCGAAGCGCACCGUGUCAAACACUCACAGCAUUGGGAAGGUAAUGUUCCUAACAACUGUUGCCAGGCCUCGAUAUAACAAUGAGGGGGAGCUAACAUUCGAUGGGAAGAUCGGCAUUUGGGCAUUCGUCGAAGAGACUGAGGCGAAGCGGACAAGUCAGAACAGAACAAAGGGAACAAAAGUGUUGACAUCAGUGAAAGUAACCAGGCCUGUGUGCAGAGAUUAUCUAAUCAAUAAGGUUAUCCCGGCAAUUCAGGAUAAGUGA
rnacentral:rRNA from 1 species